GACGAACGCUGGCGGCGUGCUUAACACAUGCAAGUCGAACGGAAAGGCCCUGCUUUUGUGGAGUGCUCGAGUGGCGAACGGGUGAGUAACACGUGAGUAACCUGCCCUUGACUUUGGGAUAACUUCAGGAAACUGGGGCUAAUACCGGAUAGGAGCUCCUGCUGCAUGGUGGGGGUUGGAAAGUUUCGGCGGUUGGGGAUGGACUCGCGGCUUAUCAGCUUGUUGGUGGGGUAGUGGCUUACCAAGGCUUUGACGGGUAGCCGGCCUGAGAGGGUGACCGGCCACAUUGGGACUGAGAUACGGCCCAGACUCCUACGGGAGGCAGCAGUGGGGAAUAUUGCACAAUGGGCGGAAGCCUGAUGCAGCAACGCCGCGUGCGGGAUGACGGCCUUCGGGUUGUAAACCGCUUUCGCCUGUGACGAAGCGUGAGUGACGGUAAUGGGUAAAGAAGCACCGGCUAACUACGUG
rnacentral:rRNA from 1 species